rnacentral:lncRNA from 9 species
CUUCCCCUCCCUCCCUGUGUUCACACACCACUCCCCAACAAUGCUGCCUGAAUAAUUCCUGAGCAGCAUCACCAAUAUCAUGACCCUUCAUCUGUGUCCUCCUAGAAAAAAUGGAGGAAUUCCAGGCAGAGCUGCCCAGCAUCACAGGAGAAACAGAGGCUCCAACUGGCUCCAUCGUAAGUGCCUUUUAUUAUCUGAGAUCAAAGCAUAACUUCAUUUCCUCAAUUUUUCUUUUUUCUUGUUGCUUCUCUCUCUCUCUCUCUCUCUCUCUCUCUCUCUCUCUCUCUCUCUCUCUCAGGGCCACACCCUCAGCAUAUGGAGUGUCUCAGGCUAGGGAUCUAAUCAGAACUACGGCUGCCAGCGUACCCUACAGCCACAGCAAAUCUCGAUGUGAGCCGAGUGGGUGACCUACACCACAGCGCAUGGCAACACCAGACCCUUAACCCACUGAGCGAGUCCAGGGAUCAAACCCGCAACCUCAUGCUUUCUAGUCAGUUUUGGUUCCACUGUGCCAAGACGGGAACUCCAAUUUCCUCCUUUUGUCUACCAAUUUCAACUAUGAAAGUCUAAACUGUUCAAAUCAGUGGAGACCUACAUUUUUCCUGGGUUGGAUGCAUGUUGACUGAAUGUCUCUCCCAAUGUGUGACUGAUUGAAAAAAUGACAAUAGCCUUUAGAAACUGGAAGUAUGGCUGAGAGCAGUGUUAUCAGCAGAGAAUUGCCCUCCUUGCAAGAGAUUUUGGUGAUUUGGUGUCAAAGUACACAUAAGAAUUCCUCCACGGAGAUUUGAAGCCUCUGUCCAGGAUGACCUCUGUGUUCUCUUUGGGACCAUGGACUCGAGGCGUGUUUCCCUUUUGGGUUUUGAUGGACAGAAAGACCAUGACAAUUCUUGUGUCCAUAGAGACCAGGAAGCUGAGAUCUCACACUGUUUUCUUGCACUAGAUGAUGACCAGUGAAACGACUAAUGAUAAUGCAGUGACGUCAGAGAUCACGACUCCAGUGACGAACAAUCAGGUUGAAGUUGAAGAAGAAGCAUGCUGCUUCCCAACUGGAGGAAACCCUCCUGCGGUGGCAGAAGUAUCAACCUCUGGCUGUGUCGGAAGUUUUUUCUACUGGCGCCGCAAGCAGUUACACCCAACAGGAAAACUCUCACUAAUUUUGGAAGAGUCGUCAUCUUUCUCCACAUCGACGAAGGAGAAGACUAACAGCAGCGAAUUGAUUGUGAAGAGCGUUGGUAGCAACACUGAUGAAAAUUCAGAACACUACAUGGCAGAUAAUGAGAAUUCUGACCACAACUGUCAGGGUCAUAAGACACCAAAACGCUCCCUGUUCAUGCGUUUAAGAAAAACAUUUGGGGGGACAGCUUCCGAUGCUGAUGAUGAGCACACCUAGGAAGAACCAGUGUCAAUGUGGCAGACCGGGGGUGCAAAGAUUGUCAGUCCGACACCAGUGACAGCCUGGAUGUGGACACCCCCAGCCUGUCUCACAACCUCCAUACCAUCAGGACCUCCACAUAGACAAGCACAGCAGAAGCCUCACUCAAUGCUCACCUC